CCUACGGGGGGCUGCAGUGGGGAAUAUUGGACAAUGGGGGCAACCCUGAUCCAGCCAUGCCGCGUGUGUGAAGAAGGCCCUCGGGUUGUAAAGCACUUUCAGUGAGGAAGAACGCCUGGUGGUUAAUACCCAUCAGGAAAGACAUCACUCACAGAAGAAGCACCGGCUAGCUCCGUGCCAGCAGCCGCGGUAAUACGGAGGGUGCGAGCGUUAAUCGGAAUUACUGGGCGUAAAGCGCGCGUAGGUGGCUUGAUAAGCCGGUUGUGAAAGCCCCGGGCUCAACCUGGGAACGGCAUCCGGAACUGUCAAGCUAGAGUGCAGGAGAGGAAGGUAGAAUUCCCGGUGUAGCGGUGAAAUGCGUAGAGAUCGGGAGGAAUACCAGUGGCGAAGGCGGCCUUCUGGACUGACACUGACGCUGAGGUGCGAAAGCGUGGGUAGCAAACAGGAUUAGAUACCCGUGUAGUC
rnacentral:rRNA from 1 species